GCGAGGAUGGCGGAAUUGGCAGACGCGCUGGAUUUAGGAUCCAGUUCCACUUCGGAAUGGGGGUUCAAGUCCCCCUCCUCGCA
rfam:Candidate division WOR_1 bacterium DG_54_3 WOR1_52_54_55135, whole genome shotgun sequence.